rnacentral:rRNA from 1 species
UACGUAGGGCGCAAGCGUUAUCCGGAAUUAUUGGGCGUAAAGAGCUCGUAGGCGGUUUGUCGCGUCUGCUGUGAAAGACCGGGGCUCAACUCCGGUUCUGCAGUGGGUACGGGCAGACUAGAGUGCAGUAGGGGAGGCUGGAAUUCCUGGUGUAGCGGUGAAAUGCGCAGAUAUCAGGAGGAACACCGAUGGCGAAGGCAGGUCUCUGGGCCACUACUGACGCUGAGAAGCGAAAGCGUGGGGAGCGAACAGG